GUGAAUGCCCCAGGUCCUGCCUCGGUGAUGGAGGCAGCCCUGAAACAAGAGAAUGUACAAGCAAGGCACUCCAGGCGGGGGCUGGUCCCAUCCCCCACCCGGAGCCCACGCUGGAAAGGAGGGACGUUACGUUUCCACGUUGAAAGCCCUGCCGCCCAUGUUAUCUCCCUUCCCAGGUGAACACCAAGACUUUGCACUCAUCAAAGGUUGGGCAGGAUUCAGGAACAGACAGGUUGAGUGACCUGUCCAAGGUCACACAGCCAGCCAGGUAAAGGGAGAAGCAGGGAUGGGUGGCGGCCCUGGGCCCAUCCUCCUGCAGCGCCGGCCAAAUAGGCUCCAUCUCCACGGAACGGGCCGCUCCCGAAGGUCUCUGACCUUGGUUUCCCCAGUGCUCCUGGUUCUCCGGCCAUCAGAACUGGAUCACAUCUACAGCAGCAGAUCUCCUGCUCUCAGGCCUUCACACUAUACCACCGGCUUUCCUGGGUCUCCAGCUUGCAAAGGGUAAAUCACUCCCAGCCUCCACAAUCAUAGAACCCUAAGACACCACCUUAACCAGGUGAUCAAAAUAAAUGUUACCAAUGCCAUGGCAAACUGACAGCAUGAGCCACCAGUUGUGAUACACUGAAAAGGACACAGAGUCACUUACGUGGUAUUCCUACGAAAAACUCCUAUCCUGAUCCUGAAUCUAAUAAUGAGGAAUGAAUACAAAACUAAGGGACAUUUUAUAAAACAACUGACUCAUACUCUUCAAAGAUGUCAGUGUCACAAAAGACAAAAGAAAAAAAUGCUGAAAGGACUGUUCCAGAUAAAAGAGACUGAGUUAUUAUCAACUAAAUACAACGUGUGAUUCUGGGUUCGAUAUGGGAUCAUUUCUUUAAAGCCAUAAUGAGCCAGCCAUGAUGGUUCAUGCCUGUAAUCCCAGCACUUUGGGAGGCCGAGGCGGGUGGAUCAUCUGAGGUCAGGAGUUCGAGACCAGCCUGGCCAACAUGGUGAAACCCCGUCUCUACUAAAAAUAUGAAAAUUAGCUGGGCAUAGUGGUAGGCACCUGUAAUUCCAGCUACUUGGGAGG